rnacentral:rRNA from 2 species
GUUAUAUGGUCAAGUGAAGAAGCGCAUACGGUGGAUGCCUUGGCAGUCAGAGGCGAUGAAAGACGUGGUAGCCUGCGAAAAGCUUCGGGGAGUCGGCAAACAGACUGUGAUCCGGAGGUAUCUGAAUGGGGGAACCCAGCCAUCAUAAGAUGGUUAUCUUGUACUGAAUACAUAGGUGCAAGAGGCGAACCAGGGGAACUGAAACAUCUAAGUACCCUGAGGAAAAGAAAUCAACCGAGAUUCCCUUAGUAGUGGCGAGCGAACGGGGACCAGCCCUUAAGUUGUAUUGAGAUUAGCGGAACACUCUGGAAAGGGUGGCCAUAGUGGGUGAUAGCCCUGUACGCGAAAAUCCCUUUGCAAUGAAAUCGAGUAGGACGGGGCACGAGAAACCUUGUCUGAAUAUGGGGGGACCAUCCUCCAAGGCUAAAUACUACUGACUGACCGAUAGUGAACCAGUACCGUGAGGGAAAGGCGAAAAGAACCGCGGAGAGCGGAGUGAAAUAGAUCCUGAAACCGUAUGCGUACAAGCAGUGGGAGCCCACUUUGUUGGGUGACUGCGUACCUUUUGUAUAAUGGGUCAGCGACUUAUUUUCAGUGGCGAGCUUAACCGAAUAGGGGAGGCGUAGCGAAAGCGAGUCUUAAUAGGGCGUCUAGUCGCUGGGAAUAGACCCGAAACCGGGCGAUCUAUCCAUGGGCAGGUUGAAGGUUGGGUAACACUAACUGGAGGACCGAACCGACUACCGUUGAAAAGUUAGCGGAUGACCUGUGGAUCGGAGUGAAAGGCUAAUCAAGCUCGGAGAUAGCUGGUUCUCCUCGAAAGCUAUUUAGGUAGCGCCUCAUGUAUCACUGUAGGGGGUAGAGCACUGUUUCGGCUAGGGGGUCAUCCCGACUUACCAAACCGAUGCAAACUCCGAAUACCUACAAGUGCCGAGCAUGGGAGACACACGGCGGGUGCUAACGUCCGUCGUGAAAAGGGAAACAACCCAGACCGUCAGCUAAGGUCCCAAAGUCAUGGUUAAGUGGGAAACGAUGUGGGAAGGCUUAGACAGCUAGGAGGUUGGCUUAGAAGCAGCCACCCUUUAAAGAAAGCGUAAUAGCUCACUAGUCGAGUCGGCCUGCGCGGAAGAUGUAACGGGGCUCAAACCAUGCACCGAAGCUACGGGUAUCAUCUUUUGAUGAUGCGGUAGAGGAGCGUUCUGUAAGCCUGUGAAGGUGAGUUGAGAAGCUUGCUGGAGGUAUCAGAAGUGCGAAUGCUGACAUGAGUAACGACAAUGGGUGUGAAAAACACCCACGCCGAAAGACCAAGGUUUCCUGCGCAACGUUAAUCGACGCAGGGUUAGUCGGUCCCUAAGGCGAGGCUGAAAAGCGUAGUCGAUGGAAAACAGGUUAAUAUUCCUGUACUUCUGGUUAUUGCGAUGGAGGGACGGAGAAGGCUAGGCCAGCCUGGCGUUGGUUGUCCAGGUUUAAGGUGGUAGGCUGAGAUCUUAGGUAAAUCCGGGAUCUUAAGGCCGAGAGCUGAUGACGAGUGUUCUUU